ACCUCUGUGUGUGUGUGUGUGUGUGUGUGUGUGUGUGUGUGUGUGUGUGUGUGCGCGCGCGCACACGCACGCGCGCGCAUGCACCCA
rnacentral:miRNA from 1 species